UAGGAUCAAGAUGAGCAAAAGCACCUCGGGAAGGCAAAUACCCCAUAAACCACCUGAACAGCAACUGAGCACAACAUCUGAUCAAACCACCACGUCUCUUCUCGUUCCUGUUAUGAACCGAGUAGUAAACAUCUCCGAUCAGAGUAGGAAUAGGGUUUCUCUGCAUGAACAGUCUGAUAGCAUUAUGGUCCACAAAGCUCUUCUGAUUGGGAAACAAAAUAAUCCCAUAAAUGCUCACAGCAACCAAAGCACAAACCGUC
rnacentral:lncRNA from 1 species